CAAAGAUGUGCGAUUGGAUGAGCGAUUUGAGAUUUGAUUGUAAAAAAGGCCUCUGAGCUAGAAGAAUAAUGUGGAAAGAAAAUAAUUUUG